AGCAGCCGCGGUAAUUCCAGCUCCAAUAGCGUAUAUUAAAGUUGUUGCAGUUAAAAAGCUCGUAGUUGAAUUUCGGGGUCAAUACGUCGGUCGUGCCUUCGGUACGUACUGGUGUUAUUGAUCUCUCCCUUCUGAUGAAUCAUGAUGUCAUUAAUUUGGUGUCGUGGGGAGUCAGGACUGUUACUUUGAAAAAUUAGAGUGUUUAAAGCAGGCUUACGCUUGAAUACAUUAGCAUGGAAUAAUGAAAUAGGACGUUCGAUCUUAUUUUGUUGGUUUCUAGGAUCAACGUAAUGAUUAAUAGGGAUAGUUGGGGGCAUUAGUAUUCAAUUGUCAGAGGUGAAAUUCUUGGAUUUAUUGAAGACUAACUACUGCGAAAGCAUUUGCCAAGGAUGUUUUCAUUAAUCAAGAACGAAAGUUAGGGGAUCGAAGACGAUCAGAUACCGUCGUAGU
rnacentral:rRNA from 1 species